AAGGUGGGGAUNACGUCAAGUCAGCAUGGCCUUGUAGGUCUGGGGCUACACACGUGGUUACAAUGGCAAGAUACAAACCGUCGCGAGACCGCAAGGUGGAGCUAAUCGGAGAAAGUCUGUCUCAGUUCGGAUUGCAGGCUGCAACUCGCCUGCAUGAAGUUGGAAUCGCUAGUAAUCGCGGAUCAGCACGCCGGCGGUGAAUACGUUCCCGGGCCUUGUACACACCGCCCGUCGCAUCACGUAAAGCUGGCUGUACUAGAAGUGCGCCGCGCUAACCCGCGAGGGAGGCAAGCGCCUAAGGUAUGGUUAGUGAUUGGGGUGAAAUCGUAAACAAGGUA
rnacentral:rRNA from 1 species